rnacentral:rRNA from 1 species
GACGAACGCUGGCGGCGUGCUUAACACAUGCAAGUCGAACGGAAAGGCCCUGCUUUUGUGGGGUGCUCGAGUGGCGAACGGGUGAGUAACACGUGAGUAACCUGCCCUUGACUUUGGGAUAACUUCAGGAAACUGGGGCUAAUACCGGAUAGGAGCUCCUGCUGCAUGGUGGGGGUUGGAAAGUUUCGGCGGUUGGGGAUGGACUCGCGGCUUAUCAGCUUGUUGGUGGGGUAGUGGCUUACCAAGGCUUUGACGGGUAGCCGGCCUGAGAGGGUGACCGGCCACAUGGGGACUGAGAUACGGCCCAGACGCGUACGGGAGGCAGCGGUGGGGAAUAUGGAACAAGGGGCGGAAGCCGGAGGCAGCAACGCCGCGUGCGGAAGGACGGCCUUCGGGUUGUAAACCGCUUUCGCCUGUGACGAAGCGUGGGUGACGGUAAUGGGUAAAGAAGAACCGGCUAACUACGU